CAAACGCAGAGCUGUGACCAACCUCACUGUUUCUGUACUUCACUUUUGAUUCCCAUACAUCACUUUAACUUUUUGUCUAUAAAUUUGUUCUGACCACAAGGCACCCCUGGAGUCUCUGUGUAUCUGCUGUGAUUCUGGGGAUGCCCAAUUCGUGAAUCGUUCAUUGCUCAAUUAAACUCCUUUAAAUUUAACUCAGCUGAAGUUUUUCUUUUAUCAGAUAAUGUCAGAAGCAGGAUCCAAAGUGGAGCUUCUAGUGACCCCCAGGAGUGCUGAGUAAACACGCAAGGUACCUGCAGGACCCACUUGUGUCCAUUGAUCUCUCAGAGCAGCUGGGCAUCGUGGGUAAAGACCUUCACAAUCGGGAACCCGUAGAUUGGAUCUUCUGAAAACAUCAGAGAAAGACUAUCUUUGCCAUCCACACUACAGUAAAACUUUGGAGCCUUGAACCUUGGAUUUAUAAUCUCACAACUGAGAAGGGUCCCUCCAUACUCCUGGAACUGUACACCCAUUGGAACUCUUAAGGUAAAACUAACCAGGAAAGUUUCUCCCCAGAAAAAGAUGGCAUCCUUGAUGUGAACAGCUUUUCCCAAGAUCACAGGUCAAAACUUCUACUAUCAUGAGACUCUUACCUUUGAAUAUUUUUACCUUGUUUAUGCCUCUAUGAGCAACAGAAAUGAAAAGUGGGUCUAUAAUGUGCACUUAUAGGGUAUAAUUUUAUUUGUGAAGGAUUUUGCGGGAAGCCAGCCUUAUACAUAAAUAAACUUAUACUUUAAUAGAUAAAAGAUGAAGGCCCAAGGUGGGUGAGAAACUUUAGUGGUACAUAUGUUGACUCAUAAUCAGUCAAAACUCCUCUUAACCCACAUCAUGGAUUAAAGAGAACAUUGCCAGGAGGCCUUCACUCUUCUAGAAGGACAUAAUUUGUUAGGUCCUUUUUCCAUGGUUUAGAAUACAAGAGGCAAUAAUUAGAAAUGUCUCCCUCUUAAUAGGCAUGGGUUCAAAUAAGGCAAACGUGGAGCUGUAGCCAAUCUCGCUGUUUGUGUACCUCACUUCUGAUUCCUGUGUGUCACUUUAACAUUUUUGUCUAUACAUUUUUUCUGACCAGGAGACACCCCUGGAGUCUGUGAAUCUGCUGUGAUUCUGGGGGCUGCCCGAAUCAUGAAUCAUUCAUUGCUCAAUUAAACUCCUUUAAGUUUAAUUUGGCUGAAGUUUUUCUUUUAUCACACCCUUGCCCCAUGAGCCAGGGAAAGGGCAACUGAGGCCGCAGUAUUUUCAGUGGCACCAAGGUACAC
rnacentral:lncRNA from 10 species